rnacentral:lncRNA from 1 species
CACACGGAUGCGGAAACCGAGACGGGCUGGAUGGAAAACUCUUUCCAGACAGGCUCCGGGGCCCUCAACUGGUCUCCGACCUUCCCCUGCAACCUGCGACACCUGCCAUUUUCCCAUCUUAGGCUCCAGAAGCAGAAUCAAGUGGGAUGUCUUGGAAGAAAAACAAACAAAAGGCCCACUAGGUGGAGUGAAAUGGAUCAGGAGCAAUUAUGUUCAAUUUCACCUUUAAGUUUUCUCAAAAGGAGGAGGAUUAAGAAUCAGCCACCUUAGUACAUACUUAAAGAAUUAUCCUCAGACUUUCCAGUUUUAAUCUUCUAGAUUUACUGAAACCUGAUCCUGUCCCUGCUGAUGAAACGUCAGAGGAAUGGGAUCCUGUAGGUGAAGAUCAUCAGCUUAUAAAAUCCUGUUGCCAUCAAUGGGGGUAGCAGGAAAAUGAUGAAGAUUGGUUAAGGGGCCAGUGGACUCAGCAUUGAAAUGAAUCAUGGACUUGAAGCCAAAAGACUCAGUUUGUGUCCCAGCUCUCUCAAGCAAAGCCCCCAAGUCCCAGUUUCCUCAUCUAUAAAAAAUAAUAAAAAUACUUCAUGGACAAA